CCCCUGAUGCAUACAACAGCUAAACUUGACUGCCUACUGUUUUUUUUGCCUUAGCACAAGCUGCUGUCCUUGUCCCCCUCAUCCGGAAUGUUCUCACUCUUCACCUCCUCUUCCUGGAAUCCCAAGCUCCCUUCAAGGAUCAGCUCAACUGUCACCUCCAAGAAGUCCUUGUUUCUCCUAAUGUCUUUCUCUCCAAUCACUUUAUAUUUGUAUAUGUGUUUUGGUGAACAUCUUGUAUCCUCCAAGAAAAAGUCAUGGAAUGAAGAGUACAUGCAGAACAACAACAGGAAAUAAAUCUGGAAAAGGAAGUAGAAGAUAUACUGUAGAAAGUUUUAAAUGCCUGGCUAGGAAAUGUAUUUUUUAACCAUCAAAGAUUUUUUUUUUUUUGGAGAAUUUUUUAGUAGAAGACUCAGAAGAUCCAAUCUCUGUAUUAGAUAUAUCAAGUUUGGAGUUAUGUUGAAGAUGAA